AGAGCGCGCGCGGGAGAGAGAGCGCAGAGAGAAGGCGGCUGCAGAAUAGGGUUCACAACAAAGAUCACAACCCUUUUAUUUAUUUUGAUGGAGGGUAAGAUGGUAAUUCCAAGAUUCAACGUUCCCCUUUACCCUCCUCUACCGCCCAAAUCGGGGGUAAAAGAAAACCACUCCAUUUUCCCUUCCGUUCACCUUCCUUCCUCCUCUCUAUCCUCAUAAUAAAUGUUCCCAAACAAGGUUAAUAUUGCAUUUCUCUUCCCCUCCCCCUCUCUACCCUCCUAACAAAAACUCCCAAACACACCAUUAAGAAAAUGUUUGUCUUUCAAUGCAUGUAUACAGGGCUUUAGAGAUGGUUGUAGGCUAUUCAUAGGCCUUGUUGAGUGUCACCUAAAAUCUAAAUACCUUGAUACACUCCUGAAAGCCACUGCUUUAGAUGGUAAUUAUGGUUUGUUCCAUGUGGUCUUUUCUAUAUAUGAGGGUGAGAGUGGGGAGAGUUGGCACUAGUUUCUACAAAAUUUAAGUGUUGCAUUCCAAGUAUCCCUAGGGCUCUCAACUAUCAGGAGUGAUCAACAUAUGGGACUUUUAGAUGCAGCUUCAAUUGUAUUUCUUAAUAUAGAGCAGAGAGUAUGUGUAAGGCAUCUAUGGAAGAAUUUUAAAAAAGACUGUGCAAAAGAUUUCUUUGAGAAAACACUAUGGGAUGCAGCAUUGAAGAGUUCAGCAUGCAUAUGAGGGUAUUGAAUGCAGUGUCUAAUAUAACAUACACUAAAUUGAUAUCUAAUCAUAAACUUAUUUGGUCCAGAGCUAUGUUCAUUAAUCAUACAAGAAAUAAUUAUAUAGUGAAUAACUUGUCAGAAUCUUUUAAUUCAUGGAUACUAGAUGUUAGAUUCCUCCCUGUUGUGGAACUUGUGGACAAACUGAUAUGCAAAAUCAUGAAAAAAAAUUCAAUAAGAGGAGGAAGCAAGGGAUGAGAUGGAAGGGAAAAUUAGUAUCAUAUGCAGAUAGAUAUUGUCAAGAGAUGAGCAAGUGACUAGGGGGUAUUCUAUUAGACACAAUAAUGAACAUGAGGCUGGAGUUGAGAAUAAGUAUGAAAGGAGGGUCAUCAACUUGGUAGAUAUGACAUGUAGCUGCAGGAAAUGGCAGAUCACAAGGUUGCCAUGCACACAUGUUGUAAGUUACAUUUGUUCUGUUAGAAAAGCGGAUUGGACUCAAUAUUGUGACCAAUUAUCCACCAUCGAAAGAGAGUGAAGAUGUUAUGCCAUCGAAAGACUAGUGGGAACCGUAUGUGAAGGAUUUCACAAUAAUCUCCCCACACACAAAGAGACCAAGAGGGAGAGGCUAAGUGGAAAAGAUGAAGAUGAUCAAGAUAGAAGAAGACCAUCAAUAAAAGUUAGCAAGAGAGUGCACGAGUGUAGUAAAUGUCGAGGACUUGGCCAUCACAAGACAAGGUGCAAGAAUCCUAUCAAUUAGACAGGUGGGAGUAGUGAACAUGCAGAAGGAGCUGCUACACCGAGCUACGUUUAUGACCAACUAUCAUGGAUGGAGAUGGUCAGGUUGCACCAUAUGCACAAAUACAUGCAGGAGGCUCUAGAUGAUGUAAAAUUAAGUCUUUGUGUGUAGUUUAGGGUUGGCUGCUAAUACGUAUUAUUUGCUUUUAGCGGUGGUGGAUCAAGAGGAGGCAGGUCAAAGUUGAAUGCUGUGAGUGGAAGGGGUAAGAGGCAAGUCACAAGAGGGGAAGUCAAUCAUCACAAUCAACGCAACCACCAAUCUCAUCUCCACUAGUUGCUACAUGGACCACAUAUCAACCAACGCAACUAGCAACCUCCUCCUUGGCUACAAGCUCAUCACAACCCACACAGCAACAUGCCAACCUAAUUAACCGAGGAUUCAGGAGAUUUCUCUGGAUUUGGCAAUGUGAGCUAGUACUAGGAUGGGUGCCAACCCACAAGAAUUAUAAUUUUGUGAUUAAACAAGAAGAUUGUCAUAUUUUAUGAGGUUGGGUAAUGUGUUUCGGGUGUAUAUACAUGGUAUUUUGUCCAUUGUGGACCAUGUACAGAAAGAAAAACCUACAAAUAAUGUUUGAUUUCUAUGUUAGACUACUACGUAAGUCUAUAUUUAUUGUGUACAUGGCAAUGUCGAUAUCUAAGUUCAUGAUUAUGUUGUGCAUGGAAAAUUUGUGAACUGGAGGGCAUACAAGUCCAUGUUAAUGUUGUAUAUGGUAUUUUUGUGCGCUUGGACUUUGUAACACCAUGUUUAUGUGCAUAC